rnacentral:lncRNA from 1 species
CUCCUAUGUCCAUGGGUGCAAUGUCAAUGAUGGGGAGGCGUGAGGUCUUCUGUGACCGGUACUCGAUAACAGUCUUGCCCCACUUACCGGUAUGUUUCGUGCAGCCAUCCUUCAGGGCAGUGUACGUGAACCUGCUAUUGCCCUCUGCCCGGAUCUCCACGUCAUUGGAGCCCUGGAUGAGCAGGGCCUUCUUGAGGUUGCCAGCUGCUUCGUCCAGAUAGGCA